UCCGGUGGCAAUGCCGGAGGGGCAAUACCCGUUCCCAUCCCGAACACGGAAGUUAAGUCCUCCAUGGCCGAUGAUACUAUGACUGCGAGGUUAUGGGAAAGUAGGUAGCCGCCGGAU
rnacentral:rRNA from 1 species